UCUCUCUCUCCCCCCCUUCUUUCUCUCUCUCCCUCCCUCCCCUUCUUUCUCUCUCUCCCUCUUCCCUCCCCGCCCAUGUGAAAACACACGGAGAAGGCAGCCUGAGCUAACACAGAUGGCAAAGCAUGUGGAGUGCGCCUGGGGUGGCCCUGCCAGCAGAUGUGCAUCAGCCAUCAAGGAGGUGGUUUUCUAAGUGGAAUUAGCAUCCCCUACUCCCAGGCAGGCUUCAGCAAUAGCACUGGGAGCGACACACACAGUGCUCCCUGUGUGCUGGCAUCACCAUGUUCACCCUCCCAAAGGCUCCUGAUGUGGAUGAGGGAGCCCAGCCCCCACCUCCCAGGAAGCCAGAGAAACAGAAGUGAACCCAAGUUGGUGCUGAAGCAGGUGGUUUGGACCGCUCUCUGAGCCACCUCCUGGUUUGCUGAGUACUGUCACAGACAUAUCAUUUCACACUCAAUUCAGCAGCUUUCAGAGACAAAUCGUUGUUGAGCUACUUUUGCAACCCACAUGCUGUGUGAAUGCUGGGGAGCCAAGGAUGUAGGAAGCAGACACAUCCCCUGCCCUCCUGGGCUCAGUCCACUACAGAAGAUAAGACCCCAUCAAACCAUCACACCAGCACAUGUAAACCUGCAAUUGUAUAAACCACAAAUUCAUACCAACCUUCGCAAAAUUCCAGCAGGGAUUUGUGAAGAAUUUGAACAAUCUUUUUCUGUAGUUGAUAUGGGGCAAGAAAGAUCUGCAGAGAGCUCACCACACUUUUGAAAAGGAAGAGCAGGGAGGACUUACUCCUCCAGGCACUCAACCGCUUCAACCCUUUAGUGACAGCAGCUUCUCCGGGGUUCAGGACAGACAAGGAGAAGACCCAGGUGGAUGGGGAGCUUGGAGUAAGACAGAGACACCGUGAGCAGAGGAGAGAGGACAGCUCCAGAGGUGGCACUGGGGAAAUCACUCCUGAGACAAGCAAAGCCUGACUCUAUACAUGACACCACUUACAGAGGUGGAUGUCAUACGAAUUCAAGACUGAAAAUGGAGAUUACCAGCUUAUCUUCACAGGUGCGAAGAAAGACCAGAAAUCAUCCCUCUACCUACCCUGAGAGGAAGGCAUAAUUGACUUUUUCCUCUACUCCCUCCUUUCAUGUGUGAAAUGUGGAUUUACUGAGCACUAAUGGGAGCCUCACAAGAAAUAACCAUUUGCCUCACUUCUACCCUCCCUCCAUUUUUUCCUCCUGCUUGCUCUUUCCUCUUGAAAUACUCCCAAACUCUCUUUGGAAAGCAAAGGGCACAGAUGCUCCUGUGACCUGUGUUUUUCUUGUGCACAUCCUUAAACUUUGGCUAAAUAAACCUCUAU
rnacentral:lncRNA from 1 species